CGGAGCCCCUCACACCGCUUCUUCCCCCCCCCCCGGGAACAAGGCGGGUGGUGCUUUCCGCACGCACCCCCCCCCCCCCGGAACGCGGCGGGUGGUACAGUCCGCGCUCCCCCCCUCCCUUCUCGGCGCCUACCGCCGCCCCUGCUGCUGACGUGCUUUGGCAUGUUUGGCUUCCACUUGGAAACAGACACACUUGGAAAGGGUGGAUUUUCUCCUUGGGAAAGCUCCUCCACUUUGCAGUACUUGAAAACCAGGUUGCCUUUGGAGCAUUUCACAGGAUUUGAACCUACGGGCUCGGAGCAUCGGCUUGUGGCAACAGGCUUGGCGUCCCAGAGACAAAGCCUUAGGGUGACCUGCGGGCAUCGCCGGGUGCUCAGGAGCUUUCAGCAACCAAAGAAAGAGACUGCUGGGAGGAAGCAAUGAAGACAAACCCUGCAUUCAGAUUCAGCAUUUCAUCCAGUAUCUCGCAUCUUCAAACAUGGAGAUCCCAGGCUAUGUUAUUUAUGGUUCCCUGAUGCAAGGAAACCAGUUGUUAUCCUUUGUUAAUUGGUUUAGAUUAAGACAGGUAUUUCUGGAACCAGCAACUGCUAAUCUUACUUCAGUGAGGAAUUUUUCAUUUUACCCACAAGUGGAGAGCUCUAAACAUAGAGGUAGGUAAUACACUGUAGCCAAGGGCAGGAUAAUCUGUCUAACAGGGCAGAUGACAUUCUUCCCAAUUAUUAUAAAAGAAAAGACAUGAUAGGUGUUACGUCAAAGAAGGUCUGGUAUUCACUGAACAGGCAAUAUUUUAUUUAAGAGAAAUGUUUCAGCUGUGCCUACAGUGUUGUUUUUUUUUUCUAUGCUUAGUAAACUGAAUAAUUUGCUGUUCUACAAAAAUAUCACCCUAUUUAUUCAUUGUUUUUAGAAGUGGGAAGUGCAGCACUGAAGCUAGAGCUUUGCAAUGGGUAUGACAGUGAAAUUCAAAGUAAACAGGUAUCACAAAGUCUGGAUCGUCAGCGCAUGCGUACCUGAGACCAAUAUUGACAAAUUGCUCCUAAAAAUAAAUAAAUAAAUAAAUAAAUAUAAUAAUAAAAAAACACUGAAUCAGC